AAAUUGAAGAGUUUGAUCAUGGCUCAGAUUGAACGCUGGCGGCAGGCCUAACACAUGCAAGUCGAACGGUAACAGGAAGCAGCUUGCUGCUUUGCUGACGAGUGGCGGACGGGUGAGUAAUGUCUGGGAAACUGCCUGAUGGAGGGGGAUAACUACUGGAAACGGUGGCUAAUACCGCAUAAUGUCGCAAGACCAAAGAGGGGGACCUUCGGGCCUCUUGCCAUCAGAUGUGCCCAGAUGGGAUUAGCUUGUUGGUGAGGUAACGGCUCACCAAGGCGACGAUCCCUAGCUGGUCUGAGAGGAUGACCAGCCACACUGGAACUGAGACACGGUCCAGACUCCUACGGGAGGCAGCAGUGGGGAAUAUUGCACAAUGGGCGCAAGCCUGAUGCAGCCAUGCCGCGUGUAUGAAGAAGGCCUUCGGGUUGUAAAGUACUUUCAGCGGGGAGGAAGGUGUUGUGGUUAAUAACCGCAGCAAUUGACGUUACCCGCAGAAGAAGCACCGGCUAACUCCGUGCCAGCAGCCGCGGUAAUACGGAGGGUGCAAGCGUUAAUCGGAAUUACUGGGCGUAAAGCGCACGCAGGCGGUCUGUCAAGUCGGAUGUGAAAUCCCCGGGCUCAACCUGGGAACUGCAUUCGAAACUGGCAGGCUUGAGUCUUGUAGAGGGGGGUAGAAUUCCAGGUGUAGCGGUGAAAUGCGUAGAGAUCUGGAGGAAUACCGGUGGCGAAGGCGGCCCCCUGGACAAAGACUGACGCUCAGGUGCGAAAGCGUGGGGAGCAAACAGGAUUAGAUACCCUGGUAGUCCACGCCGUAAACGAUGUCUACUUGGAGGUUGUGCCCUUGAGGCGUGGCUUCCGGAGCUAACGCGUUAAGUAGACCGCCUGGGGAGUACGGCCGCAAGGUUAAAACUCAAAUGAAUUGACGGGGGCCCGCACAAGCGGUGGAGCAUGUGGUUUAAUUCGAUGCAACGCGAAGAACCUUACCUGGUCUUGACAUCCACAGAACUUUCCAGAGAUGGAUUGGUGCCUUCGGGAACUGUGAGACAGGUGCUGCAUGGCUGUCGUCAGCUCGUGUUGUGAAAUGUUGGGUUAAGUCCCGCAACGAGCGCAACCCUUAUCCUUUGUUGCCAGCGGUUAGGCCGGGAACUCAAAGGAGACUGCCAGUGAUAAACUGGAGGAAGGUGGGGAUGACGUCAAGUCAUCAUGGCCCUUACGACCAGGGCUACACACGUGCUACAAUGGCGCAUACAAAGAGAAGCGACCUCGCGAGAGCAAGCGGACCUCAUAAAGUGCGUCGUAGUCCGGAUUGGAGUCUGCAACUCGACUCCAUGAAGUCGGAAUCGCUAGUAAUCGUGGAUCAGAAUGCCACGGUGAAUACGUUCCCGGGCCUUGUACACACCGCCCGUCACACCAUGGGAGUGGGUUGCAAAAGAAGUAGGUAGCUUAACCUUCGGGAGGGCGCUUACCACUUUGUGAUUCAUGACUGGGGUGAAGUCGUAACAAGGUAACCGUAGGGGAACCUGCGGUUGGAUCACCUCCUUACCUUAAAGAAGC
rnacentral:rRNA from 1 species